rfam:Helianthus annuus linkage group 9, whole genome shotgun sequence.
AGUCCAUGGUGAGGACAUUUUCGAAACAUGUCCUUGAUACGCUCCCAUGCUUCACAUAGUGAUUCACCUUCUUCUUGGGUAAAAUUAGUUUUGUAGGUGGGAAG